AGAGUGUAAUGCAGCCAAGGAUGACUUGCCGGAAUUGAAUAAAUAUGAUUGUUUCUGUAUUGAAACUAGCUAUCCCGCAAGUUGUCCUUGGCUACAUUGGGUUCUCU